ensembl:lncRNA
UCUAAUAUGGGUUUGUUUUAUUUCUCUACAUGCAAUGAAGGAUGUCACAUCUUUGAACUUGCUAUGUUAUUUAGACAUCGGUUGGUAUCUACUAUAGUACGUAUGCUUACGCAAAUGUAUUUGUUCAAAAAAAAGCUGUAAUUUGGUAAUAGUCUUUUUUUAACAUCCAGGUUCAUCCUCUGGACGAAGGAGGUUGUCACCCACAGAUUAAGGUCCAUGCAUAACUUGUCCUCUGGAGGAAGGAGGUUGUCACCCACAGAUUAAGGUCCAUGCAUAAUUUGUCCUCUGGACGAAGGAGGUUGUCAACCACAGAUUAAGGUCCAUGCAUAAAUUGUCCUCUGGACUAAGGAGGUUUUCAACCACAGAUUAAAGGCAGAAGUCAUUCUGUGGACUAAGGAGGUUUUCCACCACAGAUUAAAGGCAGAAGUCAUUCUGUGGAUGAAGGAGAUUGUCAACCACAGAUUAAAGGCAGAAGUCAUUCUGUGGACUAAAUGAGGUUUUCAACCACAGAUUAAAGGCAGAAGUCAUUCUGUGGACUAAGGAGGUUUUCAACCACAGAUUAAAGGCAGAAGUCAUUCUGUGGACUAAGGAGGUUUUCAACCACAGAUUAAAGGCAGAAGUCAUUCUGUGGACUAAAGGAGGUUUUCAACCACAGAUUAAAGGCAGAAGUCAUUCUGUGGACUAAGGAGGUUUUCAACCACAGAUUAAAGGCAGAAGUCAUUCUGUGGAUGAAGGAGGUUGUCAACCACUUGUGGUGGUGCUGUACGAGGAGUUUAUUUAUUUAUUAUCAGUCAUAUUUAUCUUGUCUUAUUUAUUACUCUUGUAUUAUGCUUAGCUGUGAGCUAGCACUCAUCCCUGAGUUGCUGAAAUACUUUCUGCAAUAGGCAAAGUGGGGAAUGCAUGCAUUGCGAUUGUAUGUGUCAGGACCUGUGGAGGGGUGUUACUCACCAUGUGGGGAAUGAACACACAUGGACAACUGGGACAUUGUGAUCUUCCUGGGGGACAAACACACCAAGGAAUGGAUCACAAAGGGCUCUCACAGACAUCGUCCUCAACACACGGUGCCUGACACAGACAUCGUCCUCAACACACGGUGCCGGAAGAAGCUUCGUAAAUACCUCAACUUCAGGAGGGUUACGUAUUUUCUCAAGAAUCCUUCCCCCUAUUUAGCAUUUAGAAUCCUUCCCCCUAUUUAGCAUUUAGAAUCCUUCCCCCUAUUUAGCAUUUAGAAUCCUUCCCCCUAUUUACAAUUAGAAUCCUUCCCCCUAUUCAAAUCAAAUGUAUUUAUAUAGCCCUUCGUACAUCAGCUGAUAUCUCAAAGUGCUGUACAGAAACCCAGCCUAAAACCCCAAACAGCAAGCAAUGCAGGUGUAGAAGCACGGUGGCUAGGAAAAACUCCCUAGAAAGGCCAAAACCUAGGAAGAAACCUAGAGAGGAACCAGGCUAUGUGGGGUGGCCAGUCCUCUUCUGGCUGUGCCGGGUGGAGAUUAUAACAGAACAUGACCAAGAUGUUCAAAUGUUCAUAAAUGACCAGCAUGGUCGUAUAAUAAUAAGGCAGAACAGUUGAAACUGGAGCAGCAGCACGGUCAGGUGGACUGGGGACAGCAAGGAGUCAUCAUGUCCGGUAGUCCUGGGGCAUGGUCCUAUGGCUCAGGUCCUCCGAGAGAGAGAAAGAAAGAGAUAAUUAGAGAGAGCAUAUGUGGGGUGGCCAGUCCUCCUCUGGCUGUGCCGGGUGGAGAUUAUAACAGAACAUGACCAAGAUGUUCAAAUGUUCAUAAAUGACCAGCAUGGUCGUAUAAUAAUAAGGCAGAACAGUUGAAACUGGAGCAGCAGCACGGUCAGG